AGAGUUUGAUCCUGGCUCAGGAUGAACGCUAGCGACAGGCUUAACACAUGCAAGUCGAGGGGCAGCAUGAUUUGUAGCAAUACAGAUUGAUGGCGACCGGCGCACGGGUGAGUAACGCGUAUGCAACUUACCUAUCAGAGGGGGAUAACCCGGCGAAAGUCGGACUAAUACCGCAUGAAGCAGGGGCCCCGCAUGGGGAUAUUUGCUAAAGAUUCAUCGCUGAUAGAUAGGCAUGCGUUCCAUUAGGCAGUUGGCGGGGUAACGGCCCACCAAACCGACGAUGGAUAGGGGUUCUGAGAGGAAGGUCCCCCACAUUGGUACUGAGACACGGACCAAACUCCUACGGGAGGCAGCAGUGAGGAAUAUUGGUCAAUGGCCGAGAGGCUGAACCAGCCAAGUCGCGUGAAGGAAGAAGGAUCUAUGGUUUGUAAACUUCUUUUAUAGGGGAAUAAAGUGGAGGACGUGUCCUUUUUUGUAUGUACCCUAUGAAUAAGCAUCGGCUAACUCCGUGCCAGCAGCCGCGGUAAUACGGAGGAUGCGAGCGUUAUCCGGAUUUAUUGGGUUUAAAGGGUGCGUAGGUGGUGAUUUAAGUCAGCGGUGAAAGUUUGUGGCUCAACCAUAAAAUUGCCGUUGAAACUGGGUUACUUGAGUGUGUUUGAGGUAGGCGGAAUGCGUGGUGUAGCGGUGAAAUGCAUAGAUAUCACGCAGAACUCCGAUUGCGAAGGCAGCUUACUAAACCAUAACUGACACUGAAGCACGAAAGCGUGGGGAUCAAACAGGAUUAGAUACCCUGGUAGUCCACGCAGUAAACGAUGAUUACUAGGAGUUUGCGAUACAAUGUAAGCUCUACAGCGAAAGCGUUAAGUAAUCCACCUGGGGAGUACGCCGGCAACGGUGAAACUCAAAGGAAUUGACGGGGGCCCGCACAAGCGGAGGAACAUGUGGUUUAA
rnacentral:rRNA from 1 species